rnacentral:rRNA from 1 species
UACGUAGGGGGCAAGUGUUGUCCGGAUUUAUUGGGCGUAAAGAGCUCGUAGGCGGCUUGGCAAGUCGGGUGUGAAAACUCCAGGCUCAACCUGGAGAUGCCACUCGAGACUGCUAUGGCUAGAGUCCGGUAGGGGACCACGGAAUUCCUGGUGUAGCGGUGAAAUGCGCAGAUAUCAGGAGGAACACCGGUGGCGAAGGCGGUGGUCUGGGCCGGCACUGACGCUGAGACGCGAAAGCGUGGGGAGCGAACAGG